GUCUACAGCCAUGCCACCCUGAACAUGCCUGAUCUCGUCUGAUCUCAGAAGCUAAGCAGGGUCAGGCCUGGUUAGUACUUGGAUGGGAGACCACCUAGGAUACCAGAUGCUGUAGGCA
rfam:Pteropus alecto contig57116, whole genome shotgun sequence.